rnacentral:tRNA from 1 species
GACAGUAGUUAGACUCUACUAUUAAGGA